CAAACCAAAGCUGGCGACCGGCGCACGGGUGAGUAACACGUAUCCAACCUGCCUCAUACUCGGGGAUAGCCUUUCGAAAGAAAGAUUAGUAUCCGAUAGCAUAUAUUUCCCGCAUGGGUUUUAUAUUAAAGAAAUUCGGUAUGAGAUGGGGAUGCGUUCCAUUAGUUUGUUGGGGGGGUAACGGCCCACCAAGACUACGAUGGAUAGGGGUUCUGAGAGGAAGGUCCCCCACGUUGGAACUGAGACACGGUCCAA
rnacentral:rRNA from 1 species